AUAGCUUAGAAUCAUUAGUUUAAACUUUAAACUUAAAAUCAAUGAAUAUUCCUUUAAAGCGCAAAUCUCUCCCACUCUCACACCUAAACAACCUGGACAUGUCGUCCCCUCCAUUUUUUCAUCAUCAUCAUCAUCACCACCACCUUCUUCUUCUUCUUCUUCACACCCACUUUGCUCCCUCCUCUAUCGUUGCCACACAAUCAGCAUUAUUUAUUUCCGUUCAUUUAUCCUAAAACUUAUCUGCUUUUUUUUCUCUUUUUUUUUUUUUUUUUUGGUCAUUCGUAGAAUCUCUAAUUACUUUUAGAAAUUUGAGAUCUACGGCAUUUUUGAUGGUAGCAAAAUUAGGGUUUCUGAGUUUGAUAAAUUGAAAUUAGUGGAAAUUAGAGAGAGAAUGUUAGAUUAAGAGAUAGAUAGAAAGAGAGAUUGAUGGGGAACACAUGUGUAGGUCCAAGUAUCGGUGCUAAUGGAUUCUUACAAACUGUUACUGCGGCGGUUUGGAAAACCCGGCCACCGGAAGACCGCCUUCCUCCUCCUCCUCCUCCUCCUCCCACCAAUUCCUCCGAACCCGUAUCCGUACCCGAACCCGAACCCAAAACCGCCGCCGCCGUUGCCGAUACUCCGAAAGCUGCCGAGCCUCCAAUGCGGGUUCAGAGCACGCCGCCCGAGCCGGUAAAAAUCAACAACGAACCCGAACCCGAACCCGAACCCGAACCCGAGAAGGAGAAGGAAAAAGAAAAAGAAAAAGAAAAACCGGUUGAUAAGCCUGCGGCGGCGCCGGCGGCUCCGGAGAUGGUUCCGUUGGUGACUGCCCCGGCGUUGGCUCCGGUGGUGGCCCCUGCGGCUGACGUGAGGGAGGAGGAGGUGCCGGCGAAGCCGAAGAAGCCGACGCACAUAAAGCGGGUGUCGAGUGCAGGACUGCAGAUAGAUUCCGUGUUGGGUAGGAAAACGGAGAAUUUGAAGGAGAAAUACACAUUGGGGAGGAAGUUAGGACAGGGGCAGUUUGGGAUUACUUUUUUGUGUUUAGAGAAAGGCACCAAUGACGAGUUCGCUUGCAAAUCCAUUGCGAAGCGAAAAUUGACUUCAGAGGAAGAUGUUGAGGAUGUUAGGAGAGAGAUUCAGAUAAUGCAUCACUUAGCUGGUCACCCCAACGUGAUACAGAUUCUGGGUGCUUAUGAAGAUGCUGUUGCUGUUCAUGUUGUUAUGGAGCUCUGCGCUGGCGGGGAGCUUUUCGAUAGGAUUAUACAGAAGGGGCAUUAUACUGAGAGAAAGGCAGCUGAGCUUGCUAGGAUAAUUGUUGGGGUUGUUGAAGCUUGUCAUUCUUUGGGUGUUAUGCAUAGAGACUUGAAGCCUGAGAAUUUCCUGUUUGUCAAUCAGGAUGAGGAUUCGCCACUUAAGACCAUUGACUUUGGCCUGUCGGUUUUCUUUCGACCAGGUGAAACUUUCACUGAUGUGGUUGGAAGCCCUUAUUAUGUGGCUCCAGAAGUGUUGCGGAAGCAUUAUGGUCCAGAAUGUGAUGUUUGGAGUGCUGGCGUGAUCAUUUACAUCUUGCUAAGUGGUGUCCCUCCAUUCUGGGAUGAAACGGAGCAAGGAAUAUUUGAGCAAGUCCUAAAAGGAGAACUUGACUUUAUAUCAGAACCAUGGCCUAGUAUAUCUGAAAGUGCGAAGGAUCUAGUUCGAAGAAUGCUUGUGAGAGAUCCUAAGAAGCGGAUGACAGCCCAUGAAGCUCUAUGCCACCCCUGGGUUAAGGUUGAUGGUGCUGCUCCUGAUAAGCCUCUUGAUUCUGCUGUUCUAACUCGCUUGAAGCAAUUCUCUGCAAUGAACAAGCUCAAGAAAAUAGCCAUCAGAGUCAUUGCUGAAAGCCUGUCUGAAGAGGAAAUCGCAGGCCUGAAAGAAAUGUUCAAGACGAUAGACACAGAUAGCAGUGGACAGAUCACCCUCGAGGAACUGCAAAACGGUUUGGAAAGAGUGGGGGCUAAUGUCAAGGAUGUUGAUAUUUAUGGAUUGAUGCAAUCGGCAGAUUUUGACAACAGUGGUACCAUAGACUAUGGAGAGUUUGUAGCAGCUAUGCUCCAUCUAAACAAGGUCCAGAGGGAGGAUCAUUUGUUUGCAGCCUUCUCAUACUUUGACAAAGAUGGGAGUGGAUACAUCACUGCAGAUGAACUCCAACAGGCCUGUGAGCAGUUUGGCUUGGAAGAUGUUCAACUAGAAGAUAUAAUGCGUGAAGUUGACCAGGAUAAUGAUGGGCGUAUUGAUUAUAGUGAGUUCGUCGCUAUGAUGCAAGACACUGGUUUUGGCAAGAAGGGAUUACAGAAUAGUACGAGUAUUGGAUUCAGGGAAGCCUUUAAACAUUAAUACCAGAUCCUGGAAUGACAAAUCAACACAAUCGGUAGUUAAUAUAUACUUGUUAGCUAAUAUUUGCUCUUUUAUAGCUUUACAGAAUUUGAAAUGCAUACUGUUGUAAAGAGUAGCCAAGCCUCAAAGUUGGAGAAAGUAUCCAACAUGUAAAUAUGUUCUUUAUUGUUUUAUUCCACAAAGAAAGCUCCUACUAUAGACUUAAAAUCUCAUGCUCCGUAGAUGGAAUUGGGUUAUCAAGUGUUUCUGGACUCUCUACACGUCCAUUCCUGAUACUUGAUGGUGCACAUAGAAUGGCAUAAGCAUUACAUUGGCUACUUUGACCUUUUCUUUUUGAUAAGCAUUACUUGCUUUGACCAUGCCUUACAGAUUGAUUACAACUGUGAGGGAUGAUUUGAUUGUGAUGAAAGUUAAGGUUGUUAGACCUGCUCUGUGAUUUAGUGUUGACGGUAGCAACCACAUGAUUUAUGUGGCCUAUCCUGUUU